rnacentral:pre_miRNA from 1 species
GCCCGUAUCAUGUGGAUGCUGCGCUUCUAUCAACUAUUACACGUAGCACCACAUGAUUCGGCUU